GGUUAAGCGACUAAGCGUACACGGUGGAUGCCCUGGCAGUCAGAGGCGAUGAAGGACGUGCUAAUCUGCGAUAAGCGUCGGUAAGGUGAUAUGAACCGUUAUAACCGGCGAUUUCCGAAUGGGGAAACCCAGUGUGAUUCGUCACACUAUCAUUAACUGAAUCCAUAGGUUAAUGAGGCGAACCGGGGGAACUGAAACAUCUAAGUACCCCGAGGAAAAGAAAUCAACCGAGAUUCCCCCAGUAGCGGCGAGCGAACGGGGAGGAGCCCAGAGCCUGAAUCAGUGUGUGUGUUAGUGGAAGCGUCUGGAAAGGCGCGCGAUACAGGGUGACAGCCCCGUACACAAAAAUGCACAUAUUGUGAGCUCGAUGAGUAGGGCGGGACACGUGGUAUCCUGUCUGAAUAUGGGGGGACCAUCCUCCAAGGCUAAAUACUCCUGACUGACCGAUAGUGAACCAGUACCGUGAGGGAAAGGCGAAAAGAACCCCGGCGAGGGGAGUGAAAAAGAACCUGAAACCGUGUACGUACAAGCAGUGGGAGCACGCUUAGGCGUGUGACUGCGUACCUUUUGUAUAAUGGGUCAGCGACUUAUAUUCUGUAGCAAGGUUAACCGAAUAGGGGAGCCGAAGGGAAACCGAGUCUUAACUGGGCGUUAAGUUGCAGGGUAUAGACCCGAAACCCGGUGAUCUAGCCAUGGGCAGGUUGAAGGUUGGGUAACACUAACUGGAGGACCGAACCGACUAAUGUUGAAAAAUUAGCGGAUGACUUGUGGCUGGGGGUGAAAGGCCAAUCAAACCGGGAGAUAGCUGGUUCUCCCCGAAAGCUAUUUAGGUAGCGCCUCGUGAAUUCAUCUCCGGGGGUAGAGCACUGUUUCGGCAAGGGGGUCAUCCCGACUUACCAACCCGAUGCAAACUGCGAAUACCGGAGAAUGUUAUCACGGGAGACACACGGCGGGUGCUAACGUCCGUCGUGAAGAGGGAAACAACCCAGACCGCCAGCUAAGGUCCCAAAGUCAUGGUUAAGUGGGAAACGAUGUGGGAAGGCCCAGACAGCCAGGAUGUUGGCUUAGAAGCAGCCAUCAUUUAAAGAAAGCGUAAUAGCUCACUGGUCGAGUCGGCCUGCGCGGAAGAUGUAACGGGGCUAAACCAUGCACCGAAGCUGCGGCAGCGACGCUUAUGCGUUGUUGGGUAGGGGAGCGUUCUGUAAGCCUGCGAAGGUGUGCUGUGAGGCAUGCUGGAGGUAUCAGAAGUGCGAAUGCUGACAUAAGUAACGAUAAAGCGGGUGAAAAGCCCGCUCGCCGGAAGACCAAGGGUUCCUGUCCAACGUUAAUCGGGGCAGGGUGAGUCGACCCCUAAGGCGAGGCCGAAAGGCGUAGUCGAUGGGAAACAGGUUAAUAUUCCUGUACUUGGUGUUACUGCGAAGGGGGGACGGAGAAGGCUAUGUUGGCCGGGCGACGGUUGUCCCGGUUUAAGCGUGUAGGCUGGUUUUCCAGGCAAAUCCGGAAAAUCAAGGCUGAGGCGUGAUGACGAGGCACUACGGUGCUGAAGCAACAAAUGCCCUGCUUCCAGGAAAAGCCUCUAAGCAUCAGGUAACAUCAAAUCGUACCCCAAACCGACACAGGUGGUCAGGUAGAGAAUACCAAGGCGCUUGAGAGAACUCGGGUGAAGGAACUAGGCAAAAUGGUGCCGUAACUUCGGGAGAAGGCACGCUGAUAUGUAGGUGAAGUCCCUUGCGGAUGGAGCUGAAAUCAGUCGAAGAUACCAGCUGGCUGCAACUGUUUAUUAAAAACACAGCACUGUGCAAACACGAAAGUGGACGUAUACGGUGUGACGCCUGCCCGGUGCCGGAAGGUUAAUUGAUGGGGUCAGCGCAAGCGAAGCUCUUGAUCGAAGCCCCGGUAAACGGCGGCCGUAACUAUAACGGUCCUAAGGUAGCGAAAUUCCUUGUCGGGUAAGUUCCGACCUGCACGAAUGGCGUAAUGAUGGCCAGGCUGUCUCCACCCGAGACUCAGUGAAAUUGAACUCGCUGUGAAGAUGCAGUGUACCCGCGGCAAGACGGAAAGACCCCGUGAACCUUUACUAUAGCUUGACACUGAACAUUGAGCCUUGAUGUGUAGGAUAGGUGGGAGGCUUUGAAGUGUGGACGCCAGUCUGCAUGGAGCCGACCUUGAAAUACCACCCUUUAAUGUUUGAUGUUCUAACGUUGACCCGUAAUCCGGGUUGCGGACAGUGUCUGGUGGGUAGUUUGACUGGGGCGGUCUCCUCCUAAAGAGUAACGGAGGAGCACGAAGGUUGGCUAAUCCUGGUCGGACAUCAGGAGGUUAGUGCAAUGGCAUAAGCCAGCUUGACUGCGAGCGUGACGGCGCGAGCAGGUGCGAAAGCAGGUCAUAGUGAUCCGGUGGUUCUGAAUGGAAGGGCCAUCGCUCAACGGAUAAAAGGUACUCCGGGGAUAACAGGCUGAUACCGCCCAAGAGUUCAUAUCGACGGCGGUGUUUGGCACCUCGAUGUCGGCUCAUCACAUCCUGGGGCUGAAGUAGGUCCCAAGGGUAUGGCUGUUCGCCAUUUAAAGUGGUACGCGAGCUGGGUUUAGAACGUCGUGAGACAGUUCGGUCCCUAUCUGCCGUGGGCGCUGGAGAACUGAGGGGGGCUGCUCCUAGUACGAGAGGACCGGAGUGGACGCAUCACUGGUGUUCGGGUUGUCAUGCCAAUGGCACUGCCCGGUAGCUAAAUGCGGAAGAGAUAAGUGCUGAAAGCAUCUAAGCACGAAACUUGCCCCGAGAUGAGUUCUCCCUGACUCCUUGAGAGUCCUGAAGGAACGUUGAAGACGACGACGUUGAUAGGCCGGGUGUGUAAGCGCAGCGAUGCGUUGAGCUAACCGGUACUAAUGAACCGUGAGGCUUAACCUU
rnacentral:rRNA from 1 species